CUAUCAUUUUCAUUUUUACUUGUUAUUCCUUCAUCUUAAUGGAUGUUAGGGUGCCACAUUUUUCAGGGAAGUUGUAAUUGCUUCAGAACCUGAGCACACACUGAUUACAUACUACAGGAUUGACAGCUAAAGGACUGAAAGCCAUUUCAAUGUUAUCGGCAAUACCGUUUCUCCCUUUGUGCCCAGAAUUCAGGUGCUUGUGUUCUGCCAUAAUUAUUACUUGACAUUUGGAGUGGGCUGAGGUUUGGGCUAUUUUUUUAACUACUGAUCAUCAAAAGAUUGCAUCAAUGAUAAUUUUGAAUAUCUUAGGAGGCCUGUUCCCAUCUUAACUGUUUGAUCUUAUGUAAUUAUAGGUUAAUACUCUAUUUCGAAAGGCCUUGGCAACUAUCAUUCAAGGCAUUCACAAUGUACGUGAUACAUCAUACGGAACAGUUUAGUUCUGGAAAAGCAAGAACACUGAUAUGUGAAAUACAUACCAAGCCAUCAAUGAAAUUACAGAUGAAGCAAUCUGGGAAUAUCAACUGCAGAAGGCUGCCAUGUCUGUCAGACAAGCAGCAGCAUGUUCUGAAGUUGGCCAUAAGGGCAGUGGUAUAGAAGAAUUCAAGAAG
rnacentral:lncRNA from 1 species